rnacentral:rRNA from 1 species
UACGUAGGGUGCAAGCGUUAAUCGGAAUUACUGGGCGUAAAGCGUGCGCAGGCGGUGAUGUAAGACAGAUGUGAAAUCCCCGGGCUCAACCUGGGAACUGCAUUUGUGACUGCAUCGCUGGAGUGCGGCAGAGGGGAUGGAAUUCCGCGUGUAGCAGUGAAAUGCGUAGAUAUGCGGAGGAACACCGAUGGCGAAGGCAAUCCCUGGGCCUGCACUGACGCUCAUGCACGAAAGCGUGGGGAGCAAACAGG